GGACUACACGGGUUUCUAAUCCGAUUUGCUCCCCACGCUUUCAUGCCUCAAUGUCAGAAAUGGAAUAGUUAAUUGCCUUCGCCCUUUGGUGGUACUCUGCAGAUCAACGGAUUUCACCCCUCCACGCAGCCUUCCAUCAACCUCUUCCAUUCUCUAGCAAAGCAGUAUUACCAGCUUCUACCAAGUUGAGCUUGGUUUCGACCAAUAACUUACUUUACCAUCUACGCAUCCUUUACGCCCAAUAAAUCCGGAUAACGUUCGCCACCUACGUCUUACCGCGGCUGCUGGCAC
rnacentral:rRNA from 1 species